AGAGUUUGAUCAUGGCUCAGAACGAACGCUGGCGGCGCGUCUUAAACAUGCAAGUCGAACGAUCUGUAGCAAUACAGGGAGUGGCGGACGGGUGAGGAACACGUAGGAAUCUACCUAGAAGAGCGGGACAACUUUGGGAAACCGGGGCUAAUACCGCAUAGUACAGAGAUGUUAAAGGGCUAGCAAUAGUCGCUUCUAGAUGAGCCUGCGGUCUAUCAGCUUGUUGGUGAGGUAAUGGCUCACCAAGGCAACGACGGAUAGCCGGUCUGAGAGGAUGAUCGGCCACACUGGCACUGAGACACGGGCCAGACUCCUACGGGAGGCAGCAGUUAAGAAUCUUGCGCAAUGGGGGAAACCCUGACGCAGCGACGCCGCGUGAAGGAUGAAGGCUUUCGGGUUGUAAACUUCGGUAGACUGGGAAGAAGAACUACGUUCGUUGAGGGCGUAGAGUGACGGUACCAGUCUGAAGCCCCGGCUAAUUACGUGCCAGCAGCCGCGGUAAUACGUAUGGGGCAAGCGUUGUUCGGAAUUAUUGGGCGUAAAGGGCUCGCAGGUGGUUUGUUAAGUUGGUGGUUUAAUCUCUGGGCUCAACCCAGAGUCAGCCUCCAAAACUGGCGAACUUGAGUACGAUAGGGGAUAGCGGAAUUCUCGGUGUAGCGGUGGAAUGCGUAGAUAUCGAGAGGAACACCAAUGGCGAAGGCAGCUAUCUGGAUCGUAACUGACACUCAUGAGCGAAAGUGCGGGGAGCAAACAGGAUUAGAUACUCUGGUAGUCCGCACCGUAAACGUUGUAUACUAGUUGUUGGUGGUUUCAACGCCAUCAGUGACGUCGCUAACGCAUUAAGUAUACCGCCUGGGGAGUAUGCUCGCAAGGGUGAAACUCAAAGGAAUUGACGG
rnacentral:rRNA from 1 species